UAACCAUGUUGAUUCAUGUAAUUUCAGUCCAUUUAGUUUUGCUGCUGUGGUAACAUUCCUUUGUAUGAAAAACUAUUCUUUGUUGAUGAUACGUAUCUUUUCUCUCUAAUUCCUUUGGAUUAAAUGUUAGUGUUAAUGGUUUUGAUUUAGCAGACUAAUGGAUUAUGUUAAUUCUCUUAAUUUCCAUGUGUCUUAAGGCAUGUUGUGUUUUUUUUUGCACAGUAUAGCUCUCAUAUGGCCCAGUGAGUGGCAAAUGAUACAAAAGCUCUUUGUUGUGGAUCAUGUAAUUAAAAUCACGAGAAUUGAAAUGGGAGAUGUAAACCCUUCAGAAACACAGUAUAUUUCUGAGCCCAGUGAUGAAGGAUUCGGCUCCGGAACUGAAUGUGAGUAGUUCUGAAACAGAGGAGGACAAGGAAGAAGCUAAACCAGAUGGAGAAAAAGAUCCAGAUUUUAAUCAAAGCAAUGGUGGAACAAAGCGGCAAAAGAUAUCCCAUCAAAAUUAUAUAGCCUAUCAAAAGCAAGUUAUUCGCCGAAGUAUGCGACAUAGAAAAGUUCGUGGUGAGAAAGCACUUCUCGUUUCUGCUAAUCAGACGUUAAAAGAAUUGAAAAUUCAGAUCAUGCAUGCAUUUUCAGUUGCUCCUUUUGACCAGAAUUUGUCAAUUGAUGGAAAGAUUUUAAGUGAUGACUGUGCCACCCUAGGCACCCUUGGCGUCAUUCCUGAAUCUGUCAUUUUAUUGAAGGCUGAUGAACCAAUUGCAGAUUAUGCUGCAAUGGAUGAUGUCAUGCAAGGUAAAGAUGAAUUUGUUUUAGGAAUCUGCUGAUUAGGUUUUAGACGGAGGUGGGAUUUUAGAUAAUGAAGCUUUAGUGUACAAUGCUUUUACUUUGAACCUUGAAAAAAGCUUCCACAUAUUGUUACAGUAGAAUACAUUGUCUUAAAAGAUCAUAGAAAGGAGGGAAAGAUAUCUACAAAAACUUGGAAAGCUAACCUGAGGAAACUGAAAUAAAUGUGAGCUCUGCCUGUGGAGGAGGUCAACAAGAAGCAAAACUAAGUCAGAUUGCAGUGCCCCAGACAGGCACACACAAAUUAGAGGCCUAGGUACCUCUGAAGGUGGGAAUGAAUUGUGAGCCUAAAAACAAGAUAACAUGAUACUUGUUUGGAAAACUGUAUAAGAAGCAGUUAGACAACUCUCUACCUUUCACAUCCUUGUCACUUCCCCAUCUCCACCUGGACCUCAGAUGGGCACCUAGAAUUACGUGUUUCCACACUUGGAAAAAUUAAACUAGAAAGGUGGGAACGAAGCCUAUACCAAAUAGGAGACCAUCUCUUAGCCCUUUGCUCAAAUUCGGGCAGCCCAUUACUUACCCUCCCCCAGGUGGGAAGGGAUUUCUCUCCAGGGAAACUAGUCAAGAAAAUAACCAGUGGAUGUAAAAAGUCUGGUUCUGUAUGAUCAAGUGAGAUUUCUCCCAGGGAUGCAAGGAUGGUUCAACAUAUGCAAACCAAUACAUCACAUCAGCAGAAUGAAGGACAAAAAUCAUAUGAUCAUCUUAAUAGACAAAGAAAAAGCAUUUGAUAAAAUUCAACAUCCCUUCGUGGUAAAAACUCUCAAAAAAUUAAGUACAGAAGGAACAUACCUCAAUAUAAUAAAGGCCAUAUGUGAGAAACCCACAGCUGACAUCAUACCUAAUGGCAAAAAGCUUAAAGCCUUUCCUCUAAGAACUGGAAUAGACAAGGACGGCCAUUUUCACCACUCUUACUCAACAUAGUAUUGGAAGUCCUAGCAAGAGCAAUUAGGCAAGAUAAAUAAGUAAAAAGCAUGCAAAAUUGGAAAAGAGGAAGUCAAAUGGUCCCUCUUUGCAGAUGACAUGCUUUUUUUUUAGAGUCUCUGUUGCCCAGACUGGAGUGCAGUGGCACCAUCUCAGCUCACUGCAGCCACCACUCCUGGGUUCAAGCAAUUCUUGUGCCUCAGACUCCUGAGUAGCUGGGACUACAGGCAUGUGCCAUGACACCCAGCUAAUUUUUGUAUUUUUACUAGAGAUGAGGAUUUCCCAUAUUGGCCAGGCUGGUCCCGAACUCCUGGCCCGCUGUGAUCU
rnacentral:sRNA from 1 species